GACGAACGCUGGCGGUGUGCUUCACACAUGCAAGUCGAACGAGGUAGCAAUACCUAGUGGCGGACGGGUGAGUAACCGCGUGGGAAUCUGCCUUUAGAUGGGGGAUAACGGGUCGAAAGACUCGCUAAUACCGCAUAUGACGAAAGUUGAAAGGAGUAAUCCGUCUAAAGAUGAGCCCGCGUCCGAUUAGCUAGUUGGUAGAGUAAAAGCCUACCAAGGCGACGAUCGGUAGCUGGUCUGAGAGGAUGAUCAGCCACAAUGGGACUAGAGACACGGCCCAUACUCCUACGGGAGGCAGCAGUGGGAAUUUUACGCAAUGGGCGAAAGCCUGACGUAGCGACACCGCGUGAGCGAAGAAGCCCCUUGGGGUGUAAAAGCUCUGUCAGCUGGGACGAAAAAAAAUUGACGGGUACCAGCAGAGGAAGCCAU
rnacentral:rRNA from 1 species